UGCUAAGACUUGAAAUAUUCAAAAGGGAAAGCUAAGAAUUCUCUAAGUAAAUGUAUCUGACAAUUAGUUGUAAAAAAAUCUAUAAAUAGACAUAUAGGAAGUAACCUAUGAUUGUUGAUAUUCAAGCUCUUGGUAAGUCUCAGAAUUUAACAUAGGCAUGGAAUACUGAGAACAAAGGAGAUGUUAGUCUUUAAUGACCCACGUUUGGUGCCGUUAAAAUUAGAGAAAAGGCGAACUCUCAAGGAUUUUUUUUUUUAGUAUACAUUUAGAA